GUCAGGAACAACAACUUGCUGGAUGAUCCUUGGAAUUUAGUGAGGUGUCCACUUUUCUAAAGGACUGUGAAGGAGCACUGUCUCACCUGCAAAAUGGCUACUUUCACAGAACAAGAUGCAAAGUUUGAUGACAAGUUAACAAACAAAGAAGAAGAAGAGGUGGAAAAACUCAUUGAUGAAUGUACCUUUGCUUUGGAAGACAAACCAAAAACACUGAUAUCAAAAGGGAAAUUCCGAAUAGACCAGCAACAAAGCAGCAAAACACACCACAACUUGCAGAUUCAGCGCAAUGGAAAAAGAGGCACCAGUACUGUGGCUGCAGUUCUGGUUAAAUUUGACCCUAACCCUAACCGUGAACAACAUGAGAUUAUAAUGAAGGCAAUAAGGGAUGGUUUACGCAAAAGCUGCAAAAACAGGAAACUAGUGACCGUGGAAAUCCGAAAACAAUAAUUUUCAGCCUCUUUUUAGUAAACAUAUCACAUAUGCAUUGAUGAUUUUAUUUUUGCUCUAUCCCCUCUUUCUCUGAUGUCAAAUGAAAAUGUCUGCUGUUUCUGUGCUGCAUUAAACUUGUUGCUAGCUCAGUUUCUCUGUCAACUCUGUACAAGCAGACCCUGCUCAAAUAUGCUAAUAGGAUGUAGAAAAAGAACAGAAUGUAAUAUUUUGAUAUUCUGAUGAUAUUCUGUAUGAAAUAAAGAAUUAUUAAACUUUC